GGCGGUCCAAUAAAAAUCUGACGGCUAGAAUUAAUUCAUAGGAUAUUAUACGAUUUCUAAAGGUUUUAGGACUCUUUUUGCUACCAAAAAAAGAUAAAAAAUUUAUCUAUAAAUAAGAGGUCUAGGAAUAAGAGUGAAGAGAAGAAAAAAUUAGUGGAAAAUAUAAAAAUAAUUAAAAAAAAUAGAUAGAUUUAAGAAUCCAAUGAGAAGAAGAAGAGAAGCCAGUUCGUUCUAUGGAGUACGAAGGAAGAAGGUGAGGUCAUCAACUAUCUUUCCG
rnacentral:lncRNA from 1 species